rnacentral:rRNA from 1 species
CCAACAGGGAUUCCCCUAGUAACGGCGAGCGAACGGGGAAGAGCCCAGCGCCGAAUUCCGCGUCCCGAGAGGGCGUCUGGAAAAUGUGGCGUUUACGAGGUUUCCUUCCGAGGGUGCGACGGCGUCGCAAGUCCCCCUGACCGGGGCUGUGACCCAGAGCGGGUGCGAGGCCCGUAGCUGACGCCGUCCCCUUCGGACGAGGCCUCUCGGGAGUCGGGCUGUUUGGGAGUGCAGCCCUAAAAGUGUGGUAAACUCCACAUAAGGCUAAAUACGGCCGUGAGACCGAUAGCAAACAAGUACCGUGAGGGAAAGUUGCAAAGAACUUUGAAGAGAGAGUUCAAGAGUACGUGAAACCGCUCAGAGGCAAACGGGUGGGCCCUCCAAAGCCGGUGGCGGGGGGAUUCAGUCGGGAGGCGGAGAGCCGAGGCCGGUCGAAUUGCACGGACCCGAACAGGCCGGGCCGACCGCGGGAGUCUCGUCGCUCUCCCGACGCACUUCCUCCCGCUCGACGGACGCCGCAACCGGUUGGACGUCGGCCAUGAGGGCGGACGCCGGAAGGUGGCCGGUGGUUGGGCCUUGCGCCCCGCCGCCGGUUGUUGUCCUGUCCGUCCGAGGCGCGACGGCCGACCGUGGUACUCGGCCCCGAAACCUCGGGCCUUGCCGUGCCCUGCACUCUUGAGAAGAGCAGCGGGCGGUCGGGCAGGCGUUUCUCCGCGACAACUGCACAGGUCGUCCCGCUCGAGUGGCGGGCGGCCCUCGGAGAGCGCCGUUGGUCCGACCCGGAGUUCACCCCGCGAGGGCGCAGGCGGUUGGCGGCGAGNNNNGGGACUUGCUUAGGCCCAAAGGCGCAAUGAAAGUGAAGGCCGGCCUCGGACGCCGGCCGAGUUGGGACCCCGUAGAUUUAUGUUACAGGUGUGCGGGGGCACCAACGACCCGUCCCGUCCGCAUCGUCGGUGGGGCGGAGUGUGAGCGUACACGUUGGGACCCGAAAGAUGGUGAACUAUGCCUGGGCAGGACGAAGCCAGAGGAAACUCUGGUGGAGGUCCGUAGCGAUUCUGACGUGCAAAUCGAUCGUCAGACCCGGGUAUAGGGGCGAAAGACUAAUCGAACCAUCUAGUAGCUGGUUCCCUCCGAAGUUUCCCUCAGGAUAGCUGGCGCUCGAACAGGGAAUCAGUCUCAUCCGGUAAAGCGAAUGAUUAGAGGCCUUGGGGCCGAAACGACCUCAACCUAUUCUCAAACUUUAAAUGGGUGAGAAGUCCGGCUUGCACGAGUGAAGCUCGGACGAGGCAGGAUGAGAGUGCCCAGUGGGCCACUUUUGGUAAGCAGAACUGGCGCUGUGGGAUGAACCAAACGCCGGGUUACGGCGCCCGAUGCGAGACGCUCACGAGAGCCCAUGAAAGGUGUUGGUUGCUAUAGACAGCAGGACGGUGGCCAUGGAAGUCGGAACCCGCUAAGGAGUGUGUAACAACUCACCUGCCGAAGCAACUAGCCCUGAAAAUGGAUGGCGCUGCAGCGUCGAGCCCAUACCCGGCCGCCGCGGCAGAGUGUAAGACGCCCCUGGAAUCGGCGGAUGUUUACGCCGCGGCGAGUAGGAGGGUCGCGGCGGCGAGCGUUGAAGGUGCCGGGCGCGAGCCCGCCUGGAGCCGCCGCCGGUGCAGAUCUUGGUGGUAGUAGCAAAUACUCAAGUGAGAACCUUGAGGACUGAGGUGGAGAAGGGUUCCAUGUGAACAGCAGUUGAACAUGGGUCAGUCGGUCCUAAGGGAUAGGAGAAAUCCGUUCCGAAGCGGGCGUGUAGGAUUGCUGAGAUCGCCCGCCGACCGACCGAAAGGGAAUCGGGUUAAUAUUCCCGAACCCGGACGCGGAGAUCGGCCCUUCGGGGCCAGGUGCGGCGACGCAACCGAACUCGGAGACGUCGACGGGAGUCCCGGGAAGAGUUGUCUUUUCUUUGUAAGGGCUCGGCUCCCUGGAAUCGGCUCGUCCGGAGAUAGGGAUGCUGUUCCCGUAAAGCACCGCGGCUCUUGCGGUGUCCGGAGCGCUCCCGUCGGCCCUUGAAAAUCCGAGGGAGGAAAUGAUUUUCGUGCCGGACCGUACCCAUAUCCGCAGCAGGUCUCCA